rnacentral:rRNA from 1 species
GGUUAAGCGACUAAGCGUACACGGUGGAUGCCCUGGCAGUCAGAGGCGAUGAAGGACGUGCUAAUCUGCGAAAAGCGCCGGCGAGGUGAUAUGAACCUUUGACCCGGCGAUGUCCGAAUGGGGAAACCCAGUGUGAUUCGUCACACUAUCGUUAACUGAAUACAUAGGUUAACGAGGCGAACCGGGGGAACUGAAACAUCUAAGUACCCCGAGGAAAAGAAAUCAACCGAGAUUCCCCCAGUAGCGGCGAGCGAACGGGGAGCAGCCCAGAGUCUGAAUCAGCUUGUGUGUUAGUGGAAGCGUCUGGAAAGUCGCACGGUACAGGGUGACAGUCCCGUACACGAAAACACACAGGUUGUGAACUCGAAGAGUAGGGCGGGACACGUGGUAUCCUGUCUGAAUAUGGGGGGACCAUCCUCCAAGGCUAAAUACUCCUGACUGACCGAUAGUGAACCAGUACCGUGAGGGAAAGGCGAAAAGAACCCCGGCGAGGGGAGUGAAAAAGAACCUGAAACCGUGUACGUACAAGCAGUGGGAGCACCUUCGUGGUGUGACUGCGUACCUUUUGUAUAAUGGGUCAGCGACUUAUAUUCUGUAGCAAGGUUAACCGUAUAGGGGAGCCGAAGGGAAACCGAGUCUUAACUGGGCGUUAAGUUGCAGGGUAUAGACCCGAAACCCGGUGAUCUAGCCAUGGGCAGGUUGAAGGUUGGGUAACACUAACUGGAGGACCGAACCGACUAAUGUUGAAAAAUUAGCGGAUGACUUGUGGCUGGGGGUGAAAGGCCAAUCAAACCGGGAGAUAGCUGGUUCUCCCCGAAAGCUAUUUAGGUAGCGCCUCGUGAACUCAUCUUCGGGGGUAGAGCACUGUUUCGGCUAGGGGGCCAUCCCGGCUUACCAACCCGAUGCAAACUACGAAUACCGAAGAAUGUUAUCACGGGAGACACACGGCGGGUGCUAACGUCCGUCGUGAAGAGGGAAACAACCCAGACCGCCAGCUAAGGUCCCAAAGUCAUGGUUAAGUGGGAAACGAUGUGGGAAGGCACAGACAGCCAGGAUGUUGGCUUAGAAGCAGCCAUCAUUUAAAGAAAGCGUAAUAGCUCACUGGUCGAGUCGGCCUGCGCGGAAGAUGUAACGGGGCUAAACCAUGCACCGAAGCUGCGGCAGCGACACUAUGUGUUGUUGGGUAGGGGAGCGUUCUGUAAGCCGUUGAAGGUGGCCUGUGAGGGUUGCUGGAGGUAUCAGAAGUGCGAAUGCUGACAUAAGUAACGAUAAAGCGGGUGAAAAGCCCGCUCGCCGGAAGACCAAGGGUUCCUGUCCAACGUUAAUCGGGGCAGGGUGAGUCGACCCCUAAGGCGAGGCCGAAAGGCGUAGUCGAUGGGAAACAGGUUAAUAUUCCUGUACUUGGUGUUACUGCGAAGGGGGGACGGAGAAGGCUAUGUUAGCCGGGCGACGGUUGUCCCGGUUUAAGCAUGUAGGCGGAGGUUCCAGGUAAAUCCGGUACCUUUUAACGCUGAGGUGUGAUGACGAGGCACUACGGUGCUGAAGUAACAAAUGCCCUGCUUCCAGGAAAAGCCUCUAAGCAUCAGGUAACAUCAAAUCGUACCCCAAACCGACACAGGUGGUCAGGUAGAGAAUACCAAGGCGCUUGAGAGAACUCGGGUGAAGGAACUAGGCAAAAUGGUGCCGUAACUUCGGGAGAAGGCACGCUGAUAUGUAGGUGAAGCCCCUGCGGGUGGAGCUGAAAUCAGUCGAAGAUACCAGCUGGCUGCAACUGUUUAUUAAAAACACAGCACUGUGCAAACACGAAAGUGGACGUAUACGGUGUGACGCCUGCCCGGUGCCGGAAGGUUAAUUGAUGGGGUUAGCGGCAACGCGAAGCUCUUGAUCGAAGCCCCGGUAAACGGCGGCCGUAACUAUAACGGUCCUAAGGUAGCGAAAUUCCUUGUCGGGUAAGUUCCGACCUGCACGAAUGGCGUAAUGAUGGCCGGGCUGUCUCCACCCGAGACUCAGUGAAAUUGAACUCGCUGUGAAGAUGCAGUGUACCCGCGGCAAGACGGAAAGACCCCGUGAACCUUUACUAUAGCUUGACACUGAACACUGGUCCUUGAUGUGUAGGAUAGGUGGGAGGCUUUGAAGUGUGGACGCCAGUCUGCAUGGAGCCGUCCUUGAAAUACCACCCUUUAAUGGCUGGUGUUCUAACGUAGACCCGUGAUCCGGGUUGCGGACAGUGUCUGGUGGGUAGUUUGACUGGGGCGGUCUCCUCCCAAAGAGUAACGGAGGAGCACGAAGGUUAGCUAAUCCUGGUCGGACAUCAGGAGGUUAGUGCAAUGGCAUAAGCUAGCUUGACUGCGAGAGUGACGGCUCGAGCAGGUGCGAAAGCAGGUCAUAGUGAUCCGGUGGUUCUGAAUGGAAGGGCCAUCGCUCAACGGAUAAAAGGUACUCCGGGGAUAACAGGCUGAUACCGCCCAAGAGUUCAUAUCGACGGCGGUGUUUGGCACCUCGAUGUCGGCUCAUCACAUCCUGGGGCUGAAGUAGGUCCCAAGGGUAUGGCUGUUCGCCAUUUAAAGUGGUACGCGAGCUGGGUUUAGAACGUCGUGAGACAGUUCGGUCCCUAUCUGCCGUGGGCGCUGGAGAAUUGAGGGGGGCUGCUCCUAGUACGAGAGGACCGGAGUGGACGCAUCACUGGUGUUCGGGUUGUCAUGCCAAUGGCACUGCCCGGUAGCUAAAUGCGGAAAAGAUAAGUGCUGAAAGCAUCUAAGCACGAAACUUGCCCCGAGAUGAGUUCUCCCUGAGACUUUAAGUCUCCUGAAGGAACGUUGAAGACGACGACGUUGAUAGGUCGGGUGUGUAAGCGCAGCGAUGCGUUGAGCUAACCGAUACUAAUGAACCGUGAGGCUUAACCUU